rnacentral:rRNA from 1 species
UUUAAAUGGCCGCAGUAUAUUAACUGUGCAAAGGUAGCAUAAUCAUUAGUCUUUUAAUUGAAGGCUGGUAUGAAUGGUUGGACGAAAUAUUAACUGUUUCAUAUAAAUUUUUAUUAGAAAUUUAUUUUUUAGUUAAAAAGCUAAAAUAUAUUUAAAAGACGAGAAGACCCUAUAAAUCUUUAUAUUUAAAUUAUUGUAAUUUUAUAGAUUUUUUUUAUUACAAUUAUUAAUAAUAUUUUAUUGGGGUGAUAUUAAAAUUUAAUAAACUUUUAAUUGUUUAAGUCAUUAAUAUAUGAAUAAUUGAUCCGUUAUUAACGAUUAAAAAAAUAAGUUACUUUAGGGAUAACAGCGUAAUUUUUUUGGAGAGUUCAUAUUGAUAAAAAAUAUUGCGACCUCGAUGUUGGAUUAAGAUAUAUUUUUAGGUGUAGUUGCUUAAAUUUUAAGUCUGUUCGACUUUUAA